CAGCAUGUAAUAUUAGAUUUGU
rnacentral:snRNA from 1 species